CUUAUACUGAAACAGCCUAUGUCUACAUGGGUGUGGUCUUUCCUGGAUUAUAUUCUUGAUUUGCUGUUUCGUCUUCAACUUGUAAUAUCAUGCAGUUAAUUUUCGACCCAUGAGCGAGUGCAACUGGAUAUUUAUUUGAAUUCCACUGAAAUAAGAAAUUCUCUGCCACAGUAUUCCUCCUUGAGUUGGUGUACUCUUCACACCUGUAAACUUUGGAGUGUUACGUUCUAUAAUGAAUUAAGGUGAGGAUACUUGAUAUAAUUAAUUUAAAUUGCUCUUUAUUGAUCUGUUUGCUACUGUAUCUGUUUCAGAUCGACGUUGGAGAAAACAAAGAUGACGCUGUAGUUGAAAUAGUUCUUUGAUUGGCUAACAAUUGAGAGAGAUUGGAGCUGAUAUCUUUGCUUACUGAAAAGAUAAGUCGGCUCCUAUGGUGUUUUAGCUGUUAACCUUUCAUCUUAGAGGCUCUUGUAGUUAAUUAAGGAACAUUAGAAGAACUCCGGAUACCUUUAAAUUAUGAAAUUAUGGAGCAUUGGUUGAAUUAGUUCUCAUUUGCCCUGCAAAGUAGUUGUGCCCAUGGUUCUAAAGAAAGCAUGAAAGUGCCUUUUUUUCAUUGGGAACGAAGACAGUGUGCUGAAAAAGGAUUUAUGACAAUGAAGUGUAGACAACUUUUAAACAACGUUUCAGAAAUGGCA
rnacentral:lncRNA from 1 species